UACGAAGGGGGCUAGCGUUGUUCGGAGUUACUGGGCGUAAAGGGCGCGUAGGCGGCGCACCAAGUCAGGCGUGAAAGCCCUGGGCUCAACCCGGGAAUUGCGCUUGAGACUGGUGUGCUCGAGUACGGGAGAGGAUAGUGGAAUUCCCAGUGUAGAGGUGAAAUUCGUAGUUAUUGGGAAGAACACCGGUGGCGAAGGCGGCUAUCUGGACCGUAACUGACGCUGAGGCGCGAAAGCGUGGGGAGCAAACAGG
rnacentral:rRNA from 1 species